rnacentral:rRNA from 1 species
GGGUUGUGAGGUUAAGCGACUAAGCGUACACGGUGGAUGCCCUGGCAGUCAGAGGCGAUGAAGGACGUGCUAAUCUGCGAUAAGCGUCGGUGAGGUGAUAUGAACCGUUAUAACCGGCGAUUUCCGAAUGGGGAAACCCAGUGUGUUUCGACACACUAUCAUUAACUGAAUCCAUAGGUUAAUGAGGCGAACCGGGGGAACUGAAACAUCUAAGUACCCCGAGGAAAAGAAAUCAACCGAGAUUCCCCCAGUAGCGGCGAGCGAACGGGGAGGAGCCCAGAGCCUGAAUCAGUGUGUGUGUUAGUGGAAGCGUCUGGAAAGGCGUGCGAUACAGGGUGACAGCCCCGUACACAAAAAUGCACAUAUUGUGAGCUCGAUGAGUAGGGCGGGACACGUGGUAUCCUGUCUGAAUAUGGGGGGACCAUCCUCCAAGGCUAAAUACUCCUGACUGACCGAUAGUGAACCAGUACCGUGAGGGAAAGGCGAAAAGAACCCCGGCGAGGGGAGUGAAAAAGAACCUGAAACCGUGUACGUACAAGCAGUGGGAGCCUCUUAAUGGGGUGACUGCGUACCUUUUGUAUAAUGGGUCAGCGACUUAUAUUCUGUAGCAAGGUUAACCGAAUAGGGGAGCCGAAGGGAAACCGAGUCUUAACUGGGCGUUAAGUUGCAGGGUAUAGACCCGAAACCCGGUGAUCUAGCCAUGGGCAGGUUGAAGGUUGGGUAACACUAACUGGAGGACCGAACCGACUAAUGUUGAAAAAUUAGCGGAUGACUUGUGGCUGGGGGUGAAAGGCCAAUCAAACCGGGAGAUAGCUGGUUCUCCCCGAAAGCUAUUUAGGUAGCGCCUCGUGAAUUCAUCUCCGGGGGUAGAGCACUGUUUCGGCAAGGGGGUCAUCCCGACUUACCAACCCGAUGCAAACUGCGAAUACCGGAGAAUGUUAUCACGGGAGACACACGGCGGGUGCUAACGUCCGUCGUGAAGAGGGAAACAACCCAGACCGCCAGCUAAGGUCCCAAAGUCAUGGUUAAGUGGGAAACGAUGUGGGAAGGCCCAGACAGCCAGGAUGUUGGCUUAGAAGCAGCCAUCAUUUAAAGAAAGCGUAAUAGCUCACUGGUCGAGUCGGCCUGCGCGGAAGAUGUAACGGGGCUAAACCAUGCACCGAAGCUGCGGCAGCGACACUAUGUGUUGUUGGGUAGGGGAGCGUUCUGUAAGCCUGUGAAGGUGGCCUGUGAGGGUUGCUGGAGGUAUCAGAAGUGCGAAUGCUGACAUAAGUAACGAUAAAGCGGGUGAAAAGCCCGCUCGCCGGAAGACCAAGGGUUCCUGUCCAACGUUAAUCGGGGCAGGGUGAGUCGACCCCUAAGGCGAGGCCGAAAGGCGUAGUCGAUGGGAAACAGGUUAAUAUUCCUGUACUUGGUGUUACUGCGAAGGGGGGACGGAGAAGGCUAUGUUGGCCGGGCGACGGUUGUCCCGGUUUAAGCGUGUAGGCUGGUUUUCCAGGCAAAUCCGGAAAACCAAGGCUGAGGCGUGAUGACGAGGCACUACGGUGCUGAAGCGACAAAUGCCCUGCUUCCAGGAAAAGCCUCUAAGCAUCAGGUAACAUCAAAUCGUACCCCAAACCGACACAGGUGGUCAGGUAGAGAAUACCAAGGCGCUUGAGAGAACUCGGGUGAAGGAACUAGGCAAAAUGGUGCCGUAACUUCGGGAGAAGGCACGCUGAUAUGUAGGUGAAGCGACUUGCUCGUGGAGCUGAAAUCAGUCGAAGAUACCAGCUGGCUGCAACUGUUUAUUAAAAACACAGCACUGUGCAAACACGAAAGUGGACGUAUACGGUGUGACGCCUGCCCGGUGCCGGAAGGUUAAUUGAUGGGGUUAGCGGCAACGCGAAGCUCUUGAUCGAAGCCCCGGUAAACGGCGGCCGUAACUAUAACGGUCCUAAGGUAGCGAAAUUCCUUGUCGGGUAAGUUCCGACCUGCACGAAUGGCGUAAUGAUGGCCAGGCUGUCUCCACCCGAGACUCAGUGAAAUUGAACUCGCUGUGAAGAUGCAGUGUACCCGCGGCAAGACGGAAAGACCCCGUGAACCUUUACUAUAGCUUGACACUGAACAUUGAGCCUUGAUGUGUAGGAUAGGUGGGAGGCUUUGAAGUGUGGACGCCAGUCUGCAUGGAGCCGACCUUGAAAUACCACCCUUUAAUGUUUGAUGUUCUAACGUUGGCCCGUAAUCCGGGUUGCGGACAGUGUCUGGUGGGUAGUUUGACUGGGGCGGUCUCCUCCUAAAGAGUAACGGAGGAGCACGAAGGUUGGCUAAUCCUGGUCGGACAUCAGGAGGUUAGUGCAAUGGCAUAAGCCAGCUUGACUGCGAGCGUGACGGCGCGAGCAGGUGCGAAAGCAGGUCAUAGUGAUCCGGUGGUUCUGAAUGGAAGGGCCAUCGCUCAACG